CCUACGGGGGGCUACAGUGGGGAAUAUUGGACAAUGGGGGCAACCCUGAUCCAGCCAUGCCGCGUGUGUGAAGAAGGCCCUCGGGUUGUAAAGCACUUUCAGUGAGGAAGAACGCCUGGUGGUUAAUACCCAUCAGGAAAGACAUCACUCACAGAAGAAGCACCGGCUAACUCCGUGCCAGCAGCCGCGGUAAUACGGAGGGUGCGAGCGUUAAUCGGAAUUACUGGGCGUAAAGCGCGCGUAGGUGGCUUGAUAAGCCGGUUGUGAAAGCCCCGGGCUCAACCUGGGAACGGCAUCCGGAACUGUCAAGCUAGAGUGCAGGAGAGGAAGGUAGAAUUCCCGGUGUAGCGGUGAAAUGCGUAGAGAUCGGGAGGAAUACCAGUGGCGAAGGCGGCCUUCUGGACUGACACCGACACUGAGGUGCGAAAGCGUGGGUAGCAAACAGGAUUAGAUACCCGUGUAGUC
rnacentral:rRNA from 1 species